ACUCCUUAACGACCGAUAGUGAACAAGUACCGUGAGGGAAAGGUGAAAAGAACCCCGGGAGGGGAGUGAAAUAGAAUCUGAAAUCAAGUGCUUACAAACAGUUGGAGCUCUAUAUCAAUUUAUUGAUAUUUAGAGUGACAGCGUACCUUUUGCAUAAUGGGUCAGCGAGUUAAUCUAUGAAGCAAGCUUAAGCCGAUAGGUGUAGGCGUAGCGAAAGCAAGUCUGAAUAGGGCG
rnacentral:rRNA from 1 species